GUUUUCGUGGCAGAGUGGUAACGCUUGCAAUUUUGAUUCGUAAGGUCGUGAGUUCGAGGUUCGCCAUGACCU